rnacentral:lncRNA from 1 species
CCCACCGUGCCCCCGCCCCUUCCACGCUGGAGCCCCCCCACGCUCCUGCCCCUCCCAGCCGGUGCUGGCCGCCGCACGGGACUUCCUAGGCCCCCUCCCCACAUGGCAGCCCUACCCCUGCACAAGACCGGUCCUGCACGGUGCCCCCGAGAGGGUGGACCAGAGGCCCCCGCCGCCGGGAGAGGCCUAAGGAAGCGUCGGAGGCCAGGACUGCCCCUCUACAAACGCUCCUUGCUUCCAGGGCAGGUUCUUCCUCCCCUGGGAAGUCUUCCCUGAUUGCCCCUUGAAUCCAUCCUUCCAGCUUGGGUUUCUGGGUCAGAGCAGCCGGGUUCCCCAGCCGCCCUUGCUCCGUGCUCUCCCCCGGGGCUCAGCGUGGGAGCCGGUGGGGGUCAGAAGCCAGUCAGCGGGUCGGGUGUGAUGCUGGGCUAGGACCUACCCGGCUCUCGGGGGGAUGCCUCCUGUGCCCACAGGCCCUGAGGCUCCCAUGCCAGCAGGGCAGAGAGGGCGACUGAGUCAAAUCCAGGCUGACCCCAGCCCACUUGUGUUCCCCAAACGCCUGCCUGACCGGAGGCUCGGGUACCCUACAGCCUUCUCAGGAAACAUCAGGGGACCUCACAUGGCCUUCAUCCACACAGUACCCCCCGUCCAGCCCUGCCAGAGGCAUGUGGCAUAGGGCAGAUUUUGCCCCCAGCCAGCUACGUGGCCUUGGACAAGCCGCGUCGUCUUUUGGAGCCAUAAUCCUGAGAAUCGUCAGGUGUCACUGCAGAGAGCGUACGUGACGGGCCCCAGAGUAGAUGGGAGUUCUGUGGGCAGAGGCAGGUCGGGUAGCAAUGAUUCUAGGUCGGAAUGGGAUGCCUGGGACCGCGCCGAGGCACCGCUUCUGGGCCAGUGUCGCGAUGAAGGACGCAGGC